rfam:Schistosoma margrebowiei strain Zambia genome assembly, scaffold: SMRZ_contig0000060
AUCCAGCUGACGAGUCACAAAUAGGAUGAAACUCUUGUCCUGGAU